rnacentral:rRNA from 1 species
UACGGAGGGUGCGAGCGUUGUCCGGAAUCACUGGGCGUAAAGGGCGCGUAGGUGGCCUGUGGAAGUCUGCGGUGAAAGCCCGGCGCUCAACGCCGGGUCGGCCGUGGAUACUCUCGGGCUUGAGCUUACUAGAGGCAGAUGGAAUUCCGGGUGUAGCGGUGGAGUGCGUAGAGAUCCGGAAGAACACCGGUGGCGAAGGCGGUCUGCUGGGGUAAUGCUGACACUGAUGCGCGACAGCGUGGGGAGCAAACAGG